UACGGGGGGAGCAAGCGUUGUUCGGAUUUACUGGGCGUAAAGGGCGCGUAGGCGGCUCCGCAAGUCGACUGUGAAAUCUCCGGGCUUAACCCGGAAAGGUCAGCCGAUACUGCGGGGCUAGAGUGCAGAAGGGGCAACUGGAAUUCUCGGUGUAGCGGUGAAAUGCGUAGAUAUCGAGAGGAACACCUGCGGCGAAGGCGGGUUGCUGGGCUGACACUGACGCUGAUGCGCGAAAGCUAGGGGAGCGAACGGG
rnacentral:rRNA from 1 species